GAUGAACGCUGGCGGCGUGCUUAACACAUGCAAGUCGAACGGAAAGGCUCCUGCUUGCAGGGGUACUCGAGUGGCGAACGGGUGAGUAACACGUGGGUGAUCUGCCCUGCACUUCGGGAUAAGCCUGGGAAACUGGGGCUAAUACCGGAUAGGACGAUGUUUUGGAUGCCAUUGUGGAAAGUUUUUUCGGUGUGGGAUGAGCUCGCGGCUUAUCAGCUUGUUGGUGGGGUAAUGGCCUACCAAGGCGUCGACGGGUAGCCGGCCUGAGAGGGUGUACGGCCACAUUGGGACUGAGAUACGGCCCAGACUCCUACGGGAGGCAGCAGUGGGGAAUAUUGCACAAUGGGCGCAAGCCUGAUGCAGCGACGCCGCGUGGGGGAUGACGGCCUUCGGGUUGUAAACUCCUUUCGCUAGGGACGAAGCGCAAGUGACGGUACCUGGAGAAGAAGCACCGGCUAACUACGUG
rnacentral:rRNA from 1 species